GGUUGUUCGGCAAAAGACAGCGUAGAACCUAGUUGUUACCUGAAAAAUUAAAAUUGAGACUGUCAGUUUCGAGAGUGAGUUAAAAUCAUAUACUCUAAGUUUGAGCAAUCAUAAAUAUAAAAUAAUUAUUAAAUAGUAUAGAAUAUCAUAAAAUAACAAAUGCGUGUCAUAUCGUAAUUUUUUUAAAAUGUAAUUUUUAACACAUACGGGAUGAGUACUUCAGCAGAACCCUGAACCUCCAAUUCUAGCAGCUUUUUGGCUCUCUUAUUCCAAUAAGAUUGGCGCCUAGAGAGCAAAGCUCGAACAGGGUCCUUAAGUCCAGUUUGGCCACUUAAACACUAAUACAGCUGGCACCUAGAGAGCACCGUUCGACCAAGGACCUUUCUCCGAAAAAUCAGACUUCCAUAGGCCCAGAGAGCUAUGCUCGACCAAGGUAUAUCACCGAAUAUUCAUCUAUUACCUGACUCUGAUUCACCAGUGUGGAUGCGAUCCUGAUGUAGCCAUCAGGUAAUGUGUUCUAAUGUUGCCUCAUCUCGAGCCACAAAAUAUUAGCAUCAAUAAUAUUAUAUGUAAUUUUUAUAAAAUUAAUAAUAAUUGAACAACCACAAUGAUAAUAAUAAUAAUAAUAAUAAUAAUAAUAAUAAAAUAAUAAUAAUAAUAAUAAUAAAUGUAAUGCAUGAAUAAUAAUAAUAUUAUUAAUAGUAGUGAAAAUAGAUUUAAUAAUACUUAUACUACUAAUAUAACCAUAAUAAUUAUUCAUUUAAGAAUUUUACUUAAAUGGAGAUAUGACACAGGCAGUAGUAUAUAUGACUCUAACUCACAGUUAUGUCAAAUCUCUACUAACUCCUCCUACGCCUCGAGUGGAGCUAGCUGAACCAGUGGAUUAUCUAUUCACGAAAGUAAUUAAGAUAAUUAAGUUACUAAAAUAUUUCAUAAUUUAUCUUAUACCUAGACUCCUAGAUUAGACUGCCUAAAGAAAUUUCGACUGAUUCCUACUCGGAAAUUCUACCAUAUAUUCUACAGAACCUCCCAUAAAAUACAGACGUUUAUCUCGGUAUAACAGGUCCAGAACCUGCUAAAAAUACUUCAACUAUUUAAUAAUUAUUUAAUAGAAAUUGAAUCACCCAUAACUGCAUUAUAUUUUCUUCGACUCUGCAACACAACCUAGUUCACAUACAAUAAUUAACAGUCCAUCAAUAAAUAUUAUUUCAUAAUGCAACACACAAAUAUUUUUCUUGCAUCUUAAUUUAAUUACUCACCACCUCAAUUUAUAAAAUCAAAUAAUAAUUACCACUAUAAUUAAUCUAUAGUAUUUCUAUUAACAAGCUACUAAUUAAUUAAAUUAUUUAAUUAAUUAUUAAUAAUUAACAACUAUUGCGCCAAAUAUUUUAUAAAAAUUUCUAAAUAAUUUAUCGAGUCCAAAAUAAAUUAUACCGAGUUGAAAAUUUAAAAUUUUGGGCGUUCAGAAAACACUAGAGUCAGAAAGUCUAUAUCGCCAACGACGUCGGAUUUCGGAUCCGGCGACACCUACAUGAAGCUUGACUUUCUAGGAGUCUGAAUAUGCAAUUUCUUCCGCCAAAAACUCGCCGAGAACCACCGGAUCAAGGCUGGAAAGUUUUGGCUCCUGCGAGACUUACACACCACUGCCACCAAGGGAAAAUGGCGGGGAAGCUUGACCUAGGGGUUUUAAAUGGUAGGGCGCACGAAUCCAUCAUCGAAUUUACGAGAAAGGGGUGGCGGAAGUUUAUUCUGGCAGCAAGGGUGACAGCUCCUCCUUCUGCUCAUUUCGAUUUUUCAGCGAAAAUGGGGGAAUAAAGGCGGUGACAGUGAAGGAAGGGGGAGGAAGGAGUUUCGAUGGGUUGAGGGAGGUGUAGGUGGCAAAAAUGGAAGAAGCCGGGGAGGGAGAGAGACCAGCAGGGAGAAAGAAGGAGAGGGAGAAAGGGGUGGGGCUUGGUGAUAUUUUCCAACAACCAAAAUUUCCUAUUAGCCUCCCUAUAAAAACAUUGCUA
rnacentral:lncRNA from 1 species